rnacentral:tRNA from 1 species
GCCGCUGUGGUGGAAUUGGCAGACACAAGGGACUUAAAAUCCCUCGGUAUUCUGAUACCGUACCGGUUCAAGUCCGGUCAGCGGCACCA